rnacentral:rRNA from 1 species
AGGAGGCGUCGAGCGGCGGACGGGUGAGUAAUGCAUAGGAAUCUGCCCGGUAGUGGGGGAUAACCUGGGGAAACCCAGGCUAAUACCGCAUACGCCCUACGGGGGAAAGCAGGGGAUCUUCGGACCUUGCGCUAUCGGAUGAGCCUAUGUCGGAUUAGCUAGUUGGUGAGGUAACGGCUCACCAAGGCUGCGAUCCGUAGCUGGUCUGAGAGGAUGAUCAGCCACAUCGGGACUGAGACACGGCCCGAACUCCUACGGGAGGCAGCAGUGGGGAAUAUUGGACAAUGGGCGAAAGCCUGAUCCAGCCAUGCCGCGUGUGUGAAGAAGGCCUUCGGGUUGUAAAGCACUUUCAGUGAGGAAGAAAGCCUUGAGGUUAAUACCCUCGAGGGAGGACAUCACUCACAGAAGAAGCACCGGCUAACUCCGUGCCAGCAGCCGCGGUAAUACGGAGGGUGCGAGCGUUAAUCGGAAUUACUGGGCGUAAAGCGCGCGUAGGCGGCUUGAUAAGCCGGUUGUGAAAGCCCCGGGCUCAACCUGGGAACGGCAUCCGGAACUGUCAGGCUAGAGUGCAGGAGAGGAAGGUAGAAUUCCCGGUGUAGCG